rnacentral:rRNA from 1 species
AUUGAACGCUGGCGGCAUGCUUUACACAUGCAAGUCGAACGGUAACAGGCCGCAAGGUGCUGACGAGUGGCGCACGGGUGAGUAAUGCAUCGGAACGUGCCCAGUCGUGGGGGAUAACUACUCGAAAGAGUAGCUAAUACCGCAUACGAUCUAUGGAUGAAAGCGGGGGACCGUAAGGCCUCGCGCGAUUGGAGCGGCCGAUGUCAGAUUAGGUAGUUGGUGGGGUAAAGGCUCACCAAGCCAACGAUCUGUAGCUGGUCUGAGAGGACGACCAGCCACACUGGGACUGAGACACGGCCCAGACUCCUACGGGAGGCAGCAGUGAGGAAUUUUGGACAAUGGGCGCAAGCCUGAUCCAGCAAUGCCGCGUGCAGGAAGAAGGCCUUCGGGUUGUAAACUGCUUUUGUACGGAACGAAACGGCUCUGGUUAAUACCCGGGGCUAAUGACGGUACCGUAAGAAUAAGCACCGGCUAACUACGUG